rnacentral:rRNA from 1 species
CAUUCCUACGGGAGGCAGCAGUGAGGAAUAUUGGUCGAUGGGCGCGAGCCUGAACCAGCCAAGUCGCGUGAGGGAAGACGGUCCUAUGGAUUGUAAACCUCUUUUGUCGGGGAGCAAAAGACGCCACGCGUGGCGUUCCGAGAGUACCCGAAGAAAAAGCAUCGGCUAACUCCGUGCCAGCAGCCGCGGUAAUACGGAGGAUGCGAGCGUUAUCUGGAUUUAUUGGGUUUAAAGGGUGCGCAGGCGGAAGAUCAAGUCAGCGGUAAAAUUGCGGGGCUCAACCUCGUCGAGCCGUUGAAACUGGG